rnacentral:rRNA from 1 species
CAGGGAAUAUUAGUAAUGGGCGAAAGCCUGAACUAGCAACGCCGCGUGUGCGAAGAAGGCCUUCGGGUUGUAAAGCACUUUUUGAGAGGAUGAGGAAGGACGGUACUCUCAGAAUAAGUCUCGGCUAACUACGUGCCAGCAGCCGCGGUAACACGUAGGAGGCAAACGUUAUCCGGAUUUACUGGGCGUAAAGCGCGUGUAGGUGGUUUGGUAAGUAGGGCGUGAAAGCUCCUGGCUCAACUGGGAGAGGACGUUCUAAACUGCCAAGCUUGAGGAUGGUAGAGGGAGGUGGAAUUCCGGAUGUAGCGGUGGGAUGCGCAGAUAUCCGGAGGAACACCAGCGGCGAAGGCGGCCUCCUGGACCACUCCUGACACUCAGACGCGAAAGCUAGGGUAGCAAACGG